AAAAGGAACAAGAAGGGGCAUAUUCCAGAUGAAUCGUAAGCUUUAAUCGACGAUCAAACGUUAAGAUUUAACUUAGGCUUGUAAAACCGUCCGUCAUGAAACCCGCAAUAUUAAGCAGUUUCAUCGUUAUAACACAAACAUUGUUGAAUCAUGUUGUUACUGCUGAUUUACAGAUUUACCGCAUUGAAUGCAUGCGUAAUCUAGAACCCCGCUGUUGUGAAGUACAGUGUGAUUGGCAGAAAGAAAACAUUACAGAAGA